rnacentral:rRNA from 1 species
CCUACGGGAGGCUGCAGUGGGGAAUAUUGGACAAUGGGGGGAACCCUGAUCCAGCCAUGCCGCGUGUGUGAAGAAGGCCCUCGGGUUGUAAAGCACUUUCAGUGAGGAAGAACGCCUGGUGGUUAAUACCCAUCAGGAAAGACAUCACUCACAGAAGAAGCACCGGCUAACUCCGUGCCAGCAGCCGCGGUAAUACGGAGGGUGCGAGCGUUAAUCGGAAUUACUGGGCGUAAAGCGCGCGUAGGUGGCUUGAUAAGCCGGUUGUGAAAGCCCCGGGCUCAACCUGGGAACGGCAUCCGGAACUGUCAAGCUAGAGUGCAGGAGAGGAAGGUAGAAUUCCCGGUGUAGCGGUGAGAUGCGUAGAGAUCGGGAGGAAUACCAGUGGCGAAGGCGGCCUUCUGGACUGACACUGACACUGAGGUGCGAAAGCGUGGGUAGCAAACAGGAUUAGAUACCCCAGUAGUC